AUCUAGCUGACGAGUCCCGAAUAGGAUGAAACGUGCGUCUUGGAU
rnacentral:hammerhead_ribozyme from 1 species